rnacentral:rRNA from 1 species
AGAGUUUGAUCAUGGCUCAGAUUGAACGCUGGCGGCAGGCCUAACACAUGCAAGUCGAACGGAUGUAGCAAUACAUUAGUGGCGCACGGGAGAGUAACGCGUGGGAACCUACCUUUUGGUUUGGGAUAACGUCGGGAAACUGACGCUAAUACCGGAUAAGCCCUUCGGGGGAAAGAUUUAUCGCCGAUAGAUGGGCCCGCGUUAGAUUAGCUAGUUGGUGAGGUAAUGGCUCACCAAGGCUACGAUCUAUAGCUGGUUUGAGAGGAUGACCAGCCUCACUGGGACUGAGACACGGCCCAGACUCCUACGGGAGGCAGCAGUGGGGAAUAUUGGACAAUGGGGGCAACCCUGAUCCAGCCAUGCCGCGUGAACGAUGAAGGCCUUCGGGUUGUAAAGUUCUUUUGGUGGGGACGAUGAUGACGGUACCCACAGAAUAAGCACCGGCUAACUUCGUGCCAGCAGCCGCGGUAAUACGAAGGGUGCUAGCGUUGUUCGGAAUUACUGGGCGUAAAGGGCGCGUAGGCGGUUUAACAAGUUGGGUGUGAAAGCCCAGGGCUCAACCCUGGAACUGCACUCAAGACUGUUUUACUUGAAUUCGGUAGAGGUUGGUGGAAUUCCCAGUGUAGAGGUGAAAUUCGUAGAUAUUGGGAAGAAUACCCGUGGCGAAGGCGACCAACUGGACCGACAUUGACGCUGAGGCGCGAAAGCGUGGGGAGCAAACAGGAUUAGAUACCCUAGUAGUCC